rnacentral:lncRNA from 1 species
UACUUUAGAUGGGGUUUAGCACAGUUAGUAAAGCGUAAAAAAAGCUAACCCUGGCUCUUACCAUGCACCAAUGAACAGGGGGAAAAAGUAGUGUUCAAGGAAGGGAAAGCAAGCUUUUAAGGUUCAAAUCACGCGAGCUCGGGCCGGUCCAGAUGCCGAACCAAAACACUAAACCGUACCAAGAGAGCCGUACGAGGAGGUACACCGACUACCCGCUUUGUAUCUGAGGGUCGCAGGGCUACAUGGUGAGAGCACCAUCGCAUACAUGGCCCCCAAGCGGAUCUUAAUGGCCC